UAAUGUAAAUUGUUAGUCCAGAAGCAAAUAUCAAUGUCCUGAUUCUCAUACUCUAAAAGAAAAUUGCAGUUUAAAGAAUUCUAAUUGUGUUUUAUUCAGAAUGUUUUUCUCUUCAAAAAAAAAAAAAAAAAAAGCCAGCUGCAGUAAAAGAAUUGUUUGUUAGUAAUUUACCAUACUGUGUUUAUCUGUUCAGAAAUCAGAAAUGGACAAACAGGCCUUAAUCCCUAUUGCCAAGAAGCGUCUAUCAUCAUACACUGAGUGUUAUAAAUGGUCAUCAUCUCCUGCAGAUGCUUGUGGUCUGCCGUCUCCCAUCAGCACUAACAGGCAAAUCCAAAAGAACUGCCCUCCAUCACCAUUACCACUUAUUUCAAAACAGUCACCACAGACUUCUUUUCCUUAUAAAAUAAUGCCUAUUCAACACACCCUGUCUGUGCAAAGUGCAUCAAGUAUUGUCAAAAAGAAAAAAGAAACAGUUUCUAAAACCACUAACAGAUGUGAGGCUUUGAGCCAAAGGCAUAUGAUCUAUGAAG
rnacentral:sRNA from 1 species